AAAAGCGAUGCCGUACUCGUCCCAACCGCUCUUGAUGGCGAUGCAGUCGUCACCAGAGACGAUGAAGCAGUCCUGGAUACGUACAUUGCUGGAGGAGUCGGGGUCGAUUCCGUCUGUGUUGGGGGAAUCAACUGGAGCGAGAAUUGUAACGCCCGAAAUUUGUACGUCCGUGCUGUAAGUGGGAUGAAGGAACCAGGAGGGAGAGUUGAGGAAGGUGACGUUGGAGAUCCGGACAUUAGUGGAGUA
rnacentral:misc_RNA from 1 species